UUUAUAUGAGAGUUUGAUCCUGGCUCAGGAUGAACGCCGGCGGUGUGCCUAAUACAUGCAAGUCGUACGCACUGGCCCAACUGAUUGAUGGUGCUUGCACCUGAUUGAUGAUGGAUCACCAGUGAGUGGCGAACGGGUGAGUAACACGUAGGUAACCUGCCCCGGAGCGGGGGAUAACAUUUGGAAACAGAUGCUAAUACCGCAUAACAACAAAAGCCACAUAGCUUUUGUUUGAAAGAUGGCUUUGGCUAUCACUCUGGGAUGGACCUGCGGUGCAUUAGCUAGUUGGUAAGGUAACGGCUUACCAAGGCGAUGAUGCAUAGCCGAGUUGAGAGACUGAUC
rnacentral:rRNA from 2 species